rnacentral:tRNA from 1 species
GGAGGCGUGCCUGAGUGGCUGAAGGGGGUGGUCCCGAAAACCACUAUACCUUUAUGGGUAUCGGAGGUUCGAAUCCUCCCGCCUCCGCCA